GGAUGAACGCUGGCGGCAUGCUUAACACAUGUAAGUUGAACGCUUUAGGUUUUUAAAUCUAAAUCAAGUAACGGACGGGUGAGUAAUGAAAGUUAGAAUCUGCAUUUAGGUAGAGGAUAACAAAUGGAAACGUUUGCUAAUACUCUGUAAAGCUAUUAAGUUAAAGACUUUUGUCACCUAAAUAUGAGCUUGCUUCUGAUUAGUUUGUUGGUAGGGUAAUGGCCUACCAAGACGAUGAUCAGUAAUUGAUUUGAGAGGAUGAUCAGUCACAUCGAAACUGAGAUUUACGGUUCGGACUUCUACGGAAGGCAACAGUGGGGAAUAUUUCGCAAUGGGUGAGAGCCUGACGAAGCAAUGCCGCGUGGAGGAAGAAUGCCUUAGGGUUGUAAACUCCUUUUCUCAUUGAAGAAUAUAUGACGCGAUUUGAGGAAUAAGCAUCAGCUAAUUCUGUGCCAGCAGCUGCGGUAAUACAGGAGAUGCAAGCGUUAUCCGGAAUUAUUGGGCUUAAAGCGUGCGUAGGUUGUUAAAUGUGUUUGACAUUAAAUUUUAAAGCUUAACUUUAUUCAAGUGUCGAAAACUAUUUAACUUGAGUAUGAUAGAGGUAAAGGGAAUUUUCAGUGUAGAGGUGAAAUUCGUAGAUAUUGGGAAGAACACCGGUGGCGAAAGCGCUUUACUAGGUUUAUACUGACACUGAGGUACGAAAGCCAGGGUAGCGAAACGGAUUAGAUACCCGUCUGUAGUCCUGGCCGUAAACGAUGGAUACUAAAUGGUGUUUUUGCACUGUUAAAGCUAAAGCGUUAAGUAUCCCGCCUGGGGAGUACGCUUGCAAAAGUGAAACUCAAAGGAAUUGACGGGGGCCCGCACAAGCGGUGGAGGAUGCGGUUUAAUCCAAUGGUACGUGGAGAACCUUACCAGAAUUUGACAUGCUAGGUAGUUUUCGAAUGAAAAUGUGCCUUUUGGAACCUAGACACAGGUGGUGCAUGGCUGUCGUCAGCUCGUGUAGUGAUAUAUUGGGUUAAGUCCCGCAACGAGCGCAACCCUUUUUUUUAGUUGUUUUUUUAAUUUCUAGGAAUACUGCCGAUAAUAAGUCGGAGGAAGGAUUAGGAUGACGUCAAGUCCUCAUGCCCCUUAUAUUCUGGGCUACACGCGUCCUACAAUGGUUAAUACAGUGAGUUGCAACUUCGUGAGAGGAAGCUAAUCUUUAAAAUUAACCUUAGUUCAGAUCGGAGGCUGAAACUCGCCUCCGUGAAGGUGGAAUCGCUAGUAAUCGCCCAUCAGCAUUGGGGCGGUGAAUACGUUCCCGGGCCUUGUACACACCGCCCGUCACGCCUUGAAAGUUGGCUAUGCCUAAAGAUAUUAUUUUAACAGUUUGGUGAAUGUAUUUAGGGCCGGGUUGGCAAUUGAGGCGAAGUCGUAACAAGGUAGCCGUACU
rnacentral:rRNA from 1 species